ACACCGGAGCCCCGUCUAGUUAAGGUCAAGCCCCGCUGCCUAAGCGCUUCUGCGUCUGCUCGGAGAAUUCCUGCUGCUUCCCCGCAGGCCCAAGGGAGCAGCAAAGCCGGGGUCAGGCUGCGGGCCUCAGCCAACGUGCUGCACCUACGGCAUCUGAGGCCCAGCCCGGGCUCCCCUUUACCCAGAGUAAAUUCACUGGGAUUGGCAGUGCUCCUGGUUGUCUGAGCGUGCGUGGACUCAGUUUGGUGGACUGCUCGCUGGCCCUUGAGGGUCAGGAAAGGGGCACCGUCGCACCGAGGUCACAGUGAUGCCCUGCUUUGUUACCAGUCACCUCGGAGUGGGCUCCCUCAAGGCUCGGGUUUCCCAAGCUGUGUUUGGGCUUUGGGUUGAAGGCUUUCUAGUCGGCACUUGGGGCAGAAUGGAGGGUGGAUCACGGAGUCCUGCAUCUCAGCGAUUUUCUGUGGGUUCCAGCCAGGUUUGAGGGACUGUUCCCCGACCUGCAGCCGGUCUGCCUCCUCUGCCCCCUUGAAAAGGAAGCUCUAAGAUUUCUUCCACAUUUGAGAGCCCCCACCAGCACCACCUUAAGAGGCUCUGGAGGCCAUUCCCAGGAGGAGAGAAGGAAGAAGCCAACUACCACACACUGGGAGAGAAUGACACUCUUUCCUAUCACCAGAAGUCAGACAAUCUGGAGCAGUCACGGGAAGGCUGCUUGGUGCAUGGAAGUAUUUAGCAGGCCGAACUGCGUCGGAGCACCCUGGUGAUGUCGCAGUUGUGUAGAGGGCGCGAGGUUGGAAAACAGAUUGCGCAGCACGUUAUUCUACCUUUCCUGUAGAGAAGGAUUCAAAAACUUCGGGCACUGGCAUUCACAUGGAAAUAAACUUCUAAUCGCAAAUUACAGGUGCAGGACCUGGUUUUUUCCAGAGCCAGAGAGAGAGAGAGAGAGAGAGAGAGAGAGAGAGAGAGAGAGAGAGAGAGAGAGCAUGCACGGGUGCGAGAGGCUCAGAAAGAAACGCGUACGCGGAGGGAGGAUGGGAAGCCUGGCGACUCGAAGGCCGCCUCGGCCAGAACGCAGCCAGCGCGCACCCUGGGACUCCAGCCUCAGUCUUCCAGGCCGGAACCUGCAGGUCGCGCCUGGCGCUCCCCUUCUGAGGGAGCUGUGAGAAUGGCUGGAGUCGGGCUGGGCGGCCUCUUCGGAGGGCGGCCGCGGAGGACCUGGGCGCACAGCUUCUCCUCCAGGUUUUGCGCCUCAGAGCUCGGCGCCCAGGGCCGCGGCGGCCAGGCCGAGCCUCCUGCUUUCCUUGCCCGGUGAGCUCACUUCUUCCUCCCGGUACUCCGUUCCGUCCGUCCGCUGGAGCCGGCUCCGACCCGGGCCGGCGGCUAACCCGGGUCGCCGGCUAACCCGGGUCGCCUAGGGUUGCGUUGGAACUCGGGGCUUCCGGCCUUCUCAGUGGACCUCUCAUGCCCAGGCUCUUCUUGGGGAGAAGCCUGGGAAGUGAGAUUCCUCGAGCAGUAAAGAGGAAGUGGAAACCUGUGAAAUGAGAGGAUAAGACUUCUUUGUGACCAAACUCAGAGUACGGCCUGGAAGGCUGGGAAGGCCUAGGCGAUGCAAUAAAUGCCCCUUUCACCAGGACCCAGUGCCCGCAUCUCUUUUCCUUUCUUCUUGUUUCCUCCUUUCUCAUUUUAGUUCAUUUGUG
ensembl:lncRNA